rnacentral:rRNA from 1 species
UGGGGAAUAUUGCACAAUGGGCGCAAGCCUGAUGCAGCUAUGCCGCGUGUAUGAAGAAGGCCUUCGGGUUGUAAAGUACUUUCAGCGAGGAGGAAGGCAUUAAGGUUAAUAACCUUGGUGAUUGACGUUACUCGCAGAAGAAGCACCGGCUAACUCCGUGCCAGCAGCCGCGGUAAUACGGAGGGGGCAAGCGUUAAUCGGAAUUACUGGGCGUAAAGCGCACGCAGGCGGUCUGUCAAGUCGGAUGUGAAAUCCCCGGGCUCAACCUGGGAACUGCAUUCGAAACUGGCAGGCUAGAGUCUUGUAGAGGGGGGUAGAAUUCCAGGUGUAGCGGUGAAAUGCGUAGAGAUCUGGAGGAAUACCGGUGGCGAAGGCGGCCCCCUGGACAAAGACUGACGCUCAGGUGCGAAAGCGUGGGGAGCAAACA